GCCGGUGUGGCGAAAUGGCAGACGCACAAGACUCAAAAUCUUGCGAUGGCAACAUCAUGUCGGUUCGACCCCGACCACCGGCACCA
rnacentral:tRNA from 1 species